GACAGAGGUGCCAAGCGUUAGGCGGAAUCACUGGGCUUAAAGCGUGUGUAGGCGGAAUGGUAAGUACCUUGUGAAAUCCCACGGCUCAACCGUGGAACUGCUUGGUAUACUGCUUUUCUUGAGCCACUUAGGGGCUGUCGGAACAAACGGUGGAGCGGUGAAAUGCGUAGAUAUCGGGAGGAACACCAGCGGUGUAGACGGCUUACUGGACCACGACUGACGCUGAGGCACGAAAGCGUGGGGAGCAAACAGG
rnacentral:rRNA from 1 species